CGCCUCCUCCCUGGCCUAAGUCUCUAACUCAAUCUCCCUCUUCCGAGCAUUUUCCUGAAGCUCAACAAAUGUCCGGUAAGACGAGUUCGCCACGAACUUGUUGGAUUAGUGUCUAAGUCCAUAACUAUUUUGGUAUGUACUUGAACCGAUUAUGAGCAUGGUCCUUUUGGGUUGCCUUCACCAUAGCAAUAUGUAGGAUGAAUUAAGGAGAGAGAGGUUUAAAUAUGAUUUAUUAAUAUAUUAUGAGAAUAAUAUAUCAAAGGAGAAAUCAUAUUGUUUAAUUAAUAUUAGUCAAGAAUUAAUUGAUAAUUAAUUUUGUGGCUAAAAGAGAUUAAUUAAACUUAGGGGACUGAAGUUGUAAUUAUAAGAUAAUUAUAAUUGGCCUAUGGAUCACCUAAUAAUAUAUAGGUUGGACGAAUUCUAUGGGAAGCCCAUUAGAAAUCAUCCAAGGGAUAUGUUUAAGGAGUCCAUGGGCUGCUUAGGGCCUAAGCAGUCAGAUUAGGGUUUCCUAGUUGUAAACCCUAAUAGCCUACAUGUAUAUAAAGGACCCUUAAGCCCCAAAAACGUGGACAACACUUCCAUUAGGGUUUCCAGCCGUUUUUGGUGCCUCCCCUCUCUUCCCUCUUCAUCCAAGUUGCUUAGUGGUGUUUGUGACUCCAUUAGAGGUGCAACACUUGAGGCACUAAGCUUUUGAAGCCAAUUCAAGCAAGGAAUUGAUUGUUAUUGCUAUAUAACAAUCAAAGGUAAUUCUAUAAACCCUAAUUCAGUUUAUAAUAUGUUAGAUCUAAGUUUAUUAGUCUUGGAUUCAAAGCAUGUACAAUAGAGAAACCUAGAUCCAAGCAUUAGGGUUUGUAUGAGCACAUAGGAUUGUUCUUAUGCCUAAAACCCAUCAGUGGUAUCAGAGACUUGAUUGGUUUCUGUUGUAUGUGAUGCCUUGUUGUAUUAUUUACUGAAAAACGAUUUUUUUGGCAUCUGCCCGACCUGACUCGGCGAGUCAGUGGACGAACUCGGCGAGUCUGUCUGACUUGGCGAGUCCAGUCCCUGACUCGGCGAGUCCAGGGGUCAGACAGAGGGAAUUUCAGGUUUUGGCUGCUGUUUUGUCUUAGACUUGAUGCUUAAUUCGUUUUAUGAAGUUAAAAUCCGAAUUUUAUCUUAAUUAAGUGUUUAUCCUUGCCAAAACAAUAGAUAAUUUCAAAUCUUUUAAAUAUUGGUUGUUUAUGUGAUAAAUAUGGAUUAUUUAAAGUUAUUUGGUAAUUAUCUAAUGACUAAAAUAAGAUUAGGUCAAAUAUAGAUAAUUAUGAAAUUAAUUGUUUAAUUUGAAUUAUUUGUUAUUUGAUCCCUAAUGUUUUGAAAUGUUUCAAAACUUGCCCUCAAGUUUUGGAAUUUAAAAGUUGAUUAAAAGUUUAAUUUUGAAAUGUUAAAUUCUAAAACCCUAGUAAUUUGAAAAGUUCAAAUCACACCCUUAUGGUUUUAUUAAUUAAUUAAAGUGUAUAAUUAAAAGUGAUUUAAUAAACCCAUAAAGUUUUGGUUUACAUUUAAUUAAAUUAAAAGUAUAAUUUUACUAAAUUAAACCACCUAGUAUUUUAAAAGUGUAAAAUACACCCUAUACUAUAUAUAACAUUAAAAGUCUAAUAUUAUAUAUGUGUAAGUAAACAGUCAGUCUUACCGUUAGUAGGCCUCAUUCACGAAGCUGGUCUAUAAGGGGUGUUUAAGGAAAUUGCCUAUAAAAUGGCGAUUGAAUGGGUAUCCACUCUUACCCACCGCACUCUUGACUAGUGGAGGGUCGUUAGCCGAACGGGUAGGAUAGGACAGAAACCUUCCAUUAUAAGUAUAAUGAAGUACAAAGUAACUAAAUGCUUUUUCAAAUUCCCAAAUCAUAGUUACUUUAGGCAAAAUGUGAAAUUGUAUGCUAACCCAUGGAAUUACACUUCGUACCCUUGUCAAACGUUAGUGGAGCGUGUGUGGUUAACCGGCACACUAAUUUGGGGAUGACAUUGGUGGCGAAGGGUGGCUCGAUGCUUAUCAUAGAUCAAUGGAGCGUGUGUGGCUAACCGGCACAUUGAUUAGGUGAUAGUAGCAUUGGGUGCACCACGUGAUUCGUAUGGUUAUUCACACCUUGUUUGUGAUCCUCGGCAUCCCAGUCACAAAUAGUAGGGCAUAAUCGAGAUUAAACAUGCCAUUGAAAAGUUCAAUGAAUCUCAAAAGAUCUAGGAGUUUCAAUUCAUUUAAAACUUAAUCUUCCUUUUCGUUUUUCAUGGUGGAAAUUGGUAAAUCGUCAUUUACCUACCUUCAAAUAUUCUGCAACUAGAUUACGGCAUCCCUCUUCUAGGUUGUAGAGUAUUGUGUUGGAUCCUAGCUUGAUGUUUCAUUUGGGUGUUACAUCAAGAAUUCUAAUCAACAUAACUUGAAUUUUCUCCCGUUUUGUAGAUGUCUGAAUCUUACAAUGGUCUUCCCAAAUCCUUUGGAACAAGCUUUCCAAAUGAAGAUGACGUUCCGAGAUACGAUCAAGGAAAUGAGAGUCAUGCUUCACUUCCUCCACCUCCUCCAAUUGUUCUCCCUGACCCACAAGUUCAAAGGCUUGAAAAGUUCAAGCUCACUCAAGCCCUUUUGGCAAGUAAACACGAAGAUGGGAAACCUGUGUGUGCACACGUCUUAGAGAUGAAGUCACACAUUGAUAGGUUAAGCAUGUUGGGUGUCGAGAUUUCAAGUGAGUUGGCUGUUGACUGGGUUCUUCAGUCACUUCCUGAAUCAUAUAGUGAGUUCGUUAGAGAGUACUAUAUGAUGGAUCACGACGUGACCCUCAUUAAUCUCACCUAUUUGCUUAUAGCUGCUGAAUCAGCAAUGAUUUGGCGUGCUGGUCAAGCAAAUUUGUCUGGUGAAUCAAACUCCCAAACUUCAAUGGACACUGGCAACAUUGGAAGUCCAGAAAGAACUAAGUCUGUGAUUGUCCGAUGUGCUGUGCCAAAGGAGUCCAUUUGCUUUUAUUGCCAAGAGAAGGGGCAUUGGAGACGAAGCUGCCCUAACUACCUGAGAGAUCUAAGAGAUGGGAGAGUCAAGACGUAUGGCUCUGCUUCAGGUAAAAUCCAUUAUCUAACUCUUUUGAGUUCCUAUUCUAGAUUCUUAAUACAUGAUGUGAUAAGAUUACAUUUUGAUGUUUUGUAGGAUCGAAGAAAAGAGAGGAAGCUUGAGGGAAGAAGUGAGCUGAAUCUAAUCAUGAAGAAAUGGAUUUCGAUCGCAUUACUUGAAGAAUGGAUUCUUGAGCUACUACUUGGAGUUAGAAUAGAUUGUUAAGAAAUAUGUAAUAACAUAGUUUUUCAAUUGAAUUGCAUUGUAAGGACAAAUUUUUUCCGCAAUAAAAUGAAUUUUGAUUUUAUCUUAUUUAUUUAUCCUUGCAAUGGCAUGUAUGAAAAAUUGAUGUUUGAAUGUUUCUAUUAUUAGCAAUAAUGGAUUUGAUUCUUAAUUAUGUUAUUUGUGGAAAUGUCAAAAGUUUACCAAAUAGGGAGAGUUUCUCAUCGCCCAAGUUUCAAUUGGACAGAAACUUGGAAUCAUGCAAUGUGUAUUGUAUGAUGAAUGAAAAACUUUCACAUUUGGGAAACUUAGACUAAUUCUUUGACAAAGUGUCAAUUGAAGGACUAGGAGAUCAAGUACACUAGGUUGUGCGUUGAUCAAGUCCACCACAAGAGUGACAAAGAUAUUCGUCAUGAUUUACUAAAGUUUAGUAAAUAUGAUUAUACUUAUAAGAUUAAGUGUAAUUCUGAGUUGAUUGAAAGAGUUUCAAUGAAUAGUAGAACGAAUAAAGAAGAAUCAAGUAGGCAGAAAGAUAAAAGUUUCUCUAUUCUAAGAAGAAGGGAGAGUACCUUUUAUUGUGUUUUAUGAUAAGUCUUAAUGAUUAAGAACCAUGUCUCAAUUGAUCCUCUAAGUGAGUCUUAGUGCAAUUGCAUGUCUAAGAAGAGGAAUCGAGAAUUGUAGAAAUGGUUAAAUCAAGAAGUCAAUCAUACUUCGUUCCAAUAUCAAGUCUUAGAGUCAUACUCCAAGAUUGUGACAUUGAGUGACAAGUCUUAAGUAGGUUUAUAACACUCAUCAAAUGUGGAAUUUGGAAAAGUUUUCUUAUUCUUGCACAUUUGAAAUUGGUAAGUUGUGAUGUCUUGGAUAAGACAAAGACCAACUAGGACCAAUUAUGUGAAGUGUUUUGUCUUGAUAAGAACUACACUAACUCUUGAAUAUUUGCUUUGUCAAGAAAUGUUUCUUGACAAGAGAAUCUUAUAUGUCAAGGAGUCAGUGGGAGUCUUAAUGGUCUUGAAAGGUUUCAAGAACAAAUCAAGAAUAAACCUUAUCGAUCAUCACUAGCACACGACUUGAGGUUUACAACCUAUCGUGCUGACAUUAUUUUGUUUCUGUGCCAUUCCAAUUGAGUUAAUUGUGUAUGUGAGUUCUAUGAGUUCUCAUUUGAAUGCAUACUAGAGCCUUAGUCGAUGGAAAGUACAUUGAUAUGUAAGGACAAGUUACUAAACUACUUGGAAGACAUGGUGGGCACUCGUGUUACCAUAAGGCAAGAAAUCAAGAUUAAGAAAGUUCAGUCCAUAUGAGUUUGGAUUUGUCGCAAACCUUGGUUUUGGCAAAUUCACAUGGAUAGGAACUCAUACACCAUAAAAUCUAAGUGUCAUAAGAUUCCCUCCUUCAUGAAAAUGACUGUGAGGAAAUGCUUUCACUAAGAGAGAUUUUAAGAAGAUAGCGAUUGUGAAAAUUGUAUUCUCAAAUUCGAUUAUGGUUACGGCAUCCCUUUCCAUAGUUCGAAUUGUGAGAUUUGGCAAUUAGUUUGAACAUUUGGAACUUAGUAACAUAAGUUCUAAAUUGUUUAAACACACAUAUGAGCUAUCUAAGGCAAAGGUGUAUAAGUUUAAGAAGCUUAGAUAAAGGCUUAUCGAAGCAUCUGGUAUUAGAAAUAUGAAUUUCAGAAAUUCAAUAGGCAUUGUUUUCUGGAAGUUCAUUUGUUUUCUGAAUACAUGUCAAAGCUAGUGGGAGCAUAAGUGUUAUGCUUAUAUGAUAAUAAUCAUCAUGAUAGUGGGAGCAUAAGUGUUAUGCUUGUAUGAUUAUUAUGGCGAGUAUUGCAAGUUAGCAAUAUUAAUUAUAGAAAAACAAAGAUUCAAUUUGCAAAGUUGCAUGGGUUGAAAAGUUGUUUUAAUAUAAUUAAGGGAGAGAAUAUUAUACUUCGUUUCAAAAUCUAAAGCUUAGAUUGAGAAAUUUUAAUAUUUUCAGUCAAAGGAUACAUUGUGUGUUCUUAAAAUUCGAUUAUGAUUACGGCAUCCCUCUUCAUAGUUCGAAUUGUGAGAACAUGACACAUAAAAUAUUAUGGCAAAAGAUUGGUAAAGUAUCAUAUCUUUAUGUAAGACAUUAUGCAUCGUGUCCCAUACGCUUCGGGUAUAGGAUCGAUUGCAAAUGCUAUAAUAUUUUACCAUUCUAAAAUUUUCCAAAUGUCUAGCGCAUUAAGAGGGAAAAAGGACUAGAAUUGGUUUUGACUAAAAUAAUUAAACAACUAUCAAAGGACGAUCCAAAGUUCGCUGAGGAUUGGUCGCUUGUGAGUAGUUGGAAGUAUGGUAUUGGAUGGACCAUAUCGACAUUAUUAUGAAUAGAUAAGAUUCUAUUAAGAAUGAGUUGUCAUAUGGCAAAUGUGGAAAUGUUUCCAUAUUGGGAGUUGGAUAUUGAGAUUCUAUGUCUAGAUUAGAAACUUUUAUGCAAGAAGGAUGUUCAAAGGAAUGUACUUUGAAUGUGAGACUUCACGUCUAUGGAAUUGUCUUGUAACAAUUUCUAAGAAAGCACUUUGUAAUUUCAUUAGCCAAGUCUUGGUGACUUUUGUGCUAUGACUUUACGAAAGGAUCGUUGCGUAAAAUGUUAGAAUCUAGCAUAUUCUAGUAGUGGCAAGAACCUUGUGUUCUUACACUAAUAAUGAGGAUUGGGAAUUGUGAAAUGAGCAUCAUUGAAAAGGUUUUUCAAUUGAUCUAUUUCACAAAGUAAGGACCAUAGGAAACAUAGUGUGCAUGCUUUAUGCAUGGGACAGCUAUUGUUGUAAUUUGAGUAAUAAGUUGAUUUUCUGAAACAGUAAACGAUAAUAAUGAGUAAUCAAUAUGGUGGUUAAAUAGAAGUGUUUUAUUUACUCUCACAAGUUUGAGGCCAUAUAGGAUUAAGUAUUAUUGUUAUGUUUCAAUUUGCAUGUUUUGACUUCCAGAAUAACUAGGUUAUUCAAACAUCCACAGUCGGUCAUACGUUGGGAGUAGGUAUGAAUAAAGACUGUCAUGAAUCUGUCUGUAGAUUGUCUGAAGUGUUUAGACAUGGCACAAGUUUGCUGCAGAGUUCAUGAGUGCUUUGAUAAGAUUAGAGUAUUGGAUUAAACCCACGCUCACUUGGAUCACUUCAUGGAUUUAUCACGAGUGAUUAGUGAGACGAUAAUAUUGUAUAUUCUUGAAACCGAGACAUGUGAGUUGUUAUUUGUUGGUCGGUUGCACAUUGAUAAUAAGUAAACGCACCAGUAACUUGGUGUUAUAAAACUUAUUGUUGUGUGUGAUUCGAUCAGUAAAUGCAAGCGAGCAUUUGAGUCGAAGUUUAUCCAUUCCUUUUACCCAAAGUGGGAUAAAAGCGAUAUAUGUGGGCCUCUCGAUGAUUUAGUGAUGACACCUAAGCGCUUGGCCAAGCCGGGACUAAGUUGAUGUGUUCAAUUGUAGUCUGUUAUCAGUCGUCAUAAAUCGGAAGUCGGGAAACAGUAUAGAGAGAAUGAUUGAAAUUCAUGUCUUUUGUCUAUACGAUAUCUUGAGAAUGGAGGAAUAUAUAAUCCCUUAUCUAGAGGACACGCUAUCUGAUAAGAUCAGAGUUGACAGCGGCUUUUGAAAGCUACGAUUGCUGAUCAGGUUCUGAAGUCAUACGGAAAAUAGUUAUUAGACUUAUCCAAGUGGGAGACUGUUGGAUUAGUGUCUAAGUCCAUAACUAUUUUGGUAUGUACUUGACCCGAUUAUGAGCAUGGUCCUUUUGGGUUGCCUUCACCAUAGCAAUAUGUAGGAUGAAUUAAGGAGAGAAAGGUUUAAAUAUGAUUUAUUAAUAUAUUAUGAGAAUAAUAUAUUAAAGGAGAAAUCAUAUUGUUUAAUUAAUAUUAGUCAAGAAUUAAUUGAUAAUUAAUUUUGUGGCUAAAAGAGAUUAAUUAAACUUAGGGGACUGAAGUUGUAAUUAUAAGAUAAUUAUAAUUGGCCUAUGGAUCACCUAAUAAUAUAUAGGUUGGACGAAUUCUAUGGGAAGCCCAUUAGAAAUCGUCCAAGGGAUAUGUUUAAGGAGUCCAUGGGCUGCUUAGGGCCUAAGCAGUCAGAUUAGGGUUUCCUAGUUGUAAACCCUAAUAGCCUACAUGUAUAUAAAGGACCCUUAAGCCCCAAAAACGUGGACAACACUUCCAUUAGGGUUUCCAGCCGUUUUUGGUGCCUCCCCUCUCUUCCCUCUUCAUCCAAGUUGCUUAGUGGUGUUUGUGACUCCAUUAGAGGUGCAACACUUGAGGCACUAAGCUUUUGAAGCCAAUUCAAGCAAGGAAUUGA
rnacentral:lncRNA from 1 species